UAGAUCGAUCAGUACUUGUUGUGUUUGUGUACCACACAAACAAAGGAAUAAAAUCACGUCAUGUCUAAUUUUAUGGGACUGUCCAUUGAAGUAAUCUUAAGUUUCUCAUUGUAGUUAAAGAUGCAUGAUUUUGUUAAGUUUCUCUAGGGUCUAUAUUAGAAAUUCAUCAUCUCCCUGACAAUGCUCUUCUUCCUGCGCUUAAGACUCUCACUGUUGAUUCAGUUAGAUUCUCUGAUCAUUCUGGUUGUGCGUUCCAAAAGCUUAUCUCUGCUUGCCCUGUGCUUGUAGAGUUAAAUAUGGUUAAUGUUGAAUGGGAGCAUUGGGAACUAUUCCCUCCAAGAUGUGAAGAUGAACCAGUUCUAGCAAAUCAAUUCUCAGCAUUUGUUUCACGUCUUAAUGGUAAAAAAAAGUACUCAAGCGUGUUAUGUUCUAAGAACCCAAAGCUUGGCAAAGUCAGAAUCUGGAAUUGGUUCUUGUGACUGGAAUCUGAAAGGAGACAAGUCUACCUAUCAUGCUUUAGCGCAAUUGCAGCUGCCUUUGGAGGAGGCUUGCCUCCGGGUAUAACUGGCACAAAUGAUAGGUGUACAUUGCUUGUCUCCAAUCUGAAUGCGGAUAGUAUUGAUGAGGAUAAGCUAUUCAAUCUGUUUUCUCUUUACGGGAACAUUGUAAGGAUUAAACUUCUUCGGAACAAACCUGACCACGCCCUUGUCCAAAUGGGUGAUGGUUUCCAAGCUGAACUUGCAGUACAUUUCUUGAAGGGAGCGAUGCUAUUUGGUAAGCGGUUAGAAGUAAACUUCUCGAAGCAUCCAAAUAUAACACCAGGCACAGACUCCCAUGAUUACGUAAACUCGAAACAACU